rnacentral:rRNA from 1 species
UACACGCUGUGACUAGCAUAUCAAUAAGCGGAGGAAAAGGAAACUAACAAGGAUUCCCCUAGUAACGGCGAGUGAAGCGGGAAGAGCUCAAAUUUGAAAUCUUAAAGGGUUUCCCUUUACGAAUUGUAGUUUAAAGAAGUGUUUUCUGUUGAGGUUUUGGUAAAAGUUCUUUGGAAUAGGACAUCAUAGAGGGUGAGAACCCCGUAUUUGACCUUUACUUUCAACUUUGUGAUACACUUUCAAAGAGUCGGAUUGUUUGGGAAUGCAGUCCAAAAUGGGUGGUAAAUUUCAUCUAAAGCUAAAUAUUGGCGAGAGACCGAUAGCGAACAAGUACCGCUGAGGGAAAGAUGAAAAGAACUUUGAAAAGAGAGUUAAACAGUACGUGAAAUUGUCAAAAGGGAAGCGUUUGACACCAGUGUUGUUUUUCUGAAAAUCAAUUAAAGAACUGUUUAUGCUAAGUUGUUUAGACUUUAUCAGCUAUCUGUUUAGUUUUGAGCUUUUCUUUAAUGCACUUUUCAGUUAACAAGUCAACAUCAAUUUCUUUUGCUGUAAAAAAGCUUGAGGAAGGUGGCUUGAGAUUCGUCUUAAGUGUUUAUAGCCUCUUGCCUAUGCAGUCGGAGAGAUUGAGGUCUGCAGCGUAGAUCCUUCGGGGCUAAAUGCAUUUGUGCUAAGUUAUAGCAUUUUAUAGACAACUUGUUGACUAUGAUUUGUCUUGUAGCUUACUCGCUUAUGUUAUUUUACCUACGCUUAGGAUGUUGACGCGCGUGUGUGCGUG